rnacentral:rRNA from 1 species
AGAGUUUGAUCCUGGCUCAGAUUGAACGCUGGCGGCAGGCCUAACACAUGCAAGUCGAGCGGAUGAAGGGAGCUUGCUCCUGGAUUCAGCGGCGGACGGGUGAGUAAUGCCUAGGAAUCUGCCUGGUAGUGGGGGAUAACGUCCGGAAACGGGCGCUAAUACCGCAUACGUCCUGAGGGAGAAAGUGGGGGAUCUUCGGACCUCACGCUAUCAGAUGAGCCUAGGUCGGAUUAGCUAGUUGGUGGGGUAAAGGCCUACCAAGGCGACGAUCCGUAACUGGUCUGAGAGGAUGAUCAGUCACACUGGAACUGAGACACGGUCCAGACUCCUACGGGAGGCAGCAGUGGGGAAUAUUGGACAAUGGGCGAAAGCCUGAUCCAGCCAUGCCGCGUGUGUGAAGAAGGUCUUCGGAUUGUAAAGCACUUUAAGUUGGGAGGAAGGGCAGUAAGUUAAUACCUUGCUGUUUUGACGUUACCAACAGAAUAAGCACCGGCUAACUUCGUGCCAGCAGCCGCGGUAAUACGAAGGGUGCAAGCGUUAAUCGGAAUUACUGGGCAUAAAGCGCGCGUAGGUGGUUCAGCAAGUUGGAUGUGAAGUCCCCGGGCUCAACCUGGGAACUGCAUCCAAAACUACUGAGCUAGAGUACGGUAGAGGGUGGUGGAAUUUCCUGUGUAGCGGUGAAAUGCGUAGAUAUAGGAAGGAACACCAGUGGCGAAGGCGACCACCUGGACUGAUACUGACACUGAGGUGCGGAAGCGUGGGGAGCAAACAGGAUUAGAUACCCUGGUAGUCCACGCCGUAAA